CUCGCCGGAAGACCAAGGGUUCCUGUCCAACGUUAAUCGGGGCAGGGUGAGUCGACCCCUAAGGCGAGGCCGAAAGGCGUAGUCGAUGGGAAACAGGUUAAUAUUCCUGUACUUGGUGUUACUGCGAAGGGGGGACGGAGAAGGCUAUGUUGGCCGGGCGACGGUUGUCCCGGUUUAAGCGUGUAGGCUGGUUUUCCAGGCAAAUCCGGAAAAUCAAGGCUGAGGCGUGAUGACGAGGCACUACGGUGCUGAAGCAACAAAUGCCCUGCUUCCAGGAAAAGCCUCUAAGCAUCAGGUAACAUCAAAUCGUACCCCAAACCGACACAGGUGGUCAGGUAGAGAAUACCAAGGCGCUUGAGAGAACUCGGGUGAAGGAACUAGGCAAAAUGGUGCCGUAACUUCGGGAGAAGGCACGCUGAUAUGUAGGUGAAGUCCCUCGCGGAUGGAGCUGAAAUCAGUCGAAGAUACCAGCUGGCUGCAACUGUUUAUUAAAAACACAGCACUGUGCAAACACGAAAGUGGACGUAUACGGUGUGACGCCUGCCCGGUGCCGGAAGGUUAAUUGAUGGGGUCAGCGCAAGCGAAGCUCUUGAUCGAAGCCCCGGUAAACGGCGGCCGUAACUAUAACGGUCCUAAGGUAGCGAAAUUCCUUGUCGGGUAAGUUCCGACCUGCACGAAUGGCGUAAUGAUGGCCAGGCUGUCUCCACCCGAGACUCAGUGAAAUUGAACUCGCUGUGAAGAUGCAGUGUACCCGCGGCAAGACGGAAAGACCCCGUGAACCUUUACUAUAGCUUGACACUGAACAUUGAGCCUUGAUGUGUAGGAUAGGUGGGAGGCUUAGAAGUGUGGACGCCAGUCUGCAUGGAGCCGACCUUGAAAUACCACCCUUUAAUGUUUGAUGUUCUAACGUUGACCCGUAAUCCGGGUUGCGGACAGUGUCUGGUGGGUAGUUUGACUGGGGCGGUCUCCUCCUAAAGAGUAACGGAGGAGCACGAAGGUUGGCUAAUCCUGGUCGGACAUCAGGAGGUUAGUGCAAUGGCAUAAGCCAGCUUGACUGCGAGCGUGACGGCGCGAGCAGGUGCGAAAGCAGGUCAUAGUGAUCCGGUGGUUCUGAAUGGAAGGGCCAUCGCUCAACGGAUAAAAGGUACUCCGGGGAUAACAGGCUGAUACCGCCCAAGAGUUCAUAUCGACGGCGGUGUUUGGCACCUCGAUGUCGGCUCAUCACAUCCUGGGGCUGAAGUAGGUCCCAAGGGUAUGGCUGUUCGCCAUUUAAAGUGGUACGCGAGCUGGGUUUAGAACGUCGUGAGACAGUUCGGUCCCUAUCUGCCGUGGGCGCUGGAGAACUGAGGGGGGCUGCUCCUAGUACGAGAGGACCGGAGUGGACGCAUCACUGGUGUUCGGGUUGUCAUGCCAAUGGCACUGCCCGGUAGCUAAAUGCGGAAGAGAUAAGUGCUGAAAGCAUCUAAGCACGAAACUUGCCCCGAGAUGAGUUCUCCCUGACCCUUUGAGAGUCCUGAAGGAACGUUGAAGACGACGACGUUGAUAGGCCGGGUGUGUAAGCGCAGCGAUGCGUUGAGCUAACCGGUACUAAUGAACCGUGAGGCUUAACCUU
rnacentral:rRNA from 1 species